rfam:Triticum urartu cultivar G1812 contig44663, whole genome shotgun sequence.
AAUAUAUUCCCUCCAUCCAGAAAAACUUGUCCCUCAAAUAGAUGUAUAUAGCACCAAGUUAGUGCUAAAUACAUUCAUUUGAUGGACAAAUUUGGGACAAGCUUUUCCGGACGGAGGGAGUACAUA